rnacentral:sRNA from 1 species
AGGUCUGGGCUACCGGCGCGGCGUAGUGGAUGCAGCAUCCUAGUUGAGGACGCCCCGCUGGAGCCAGUGACCUUCAGGGACGUGGCCAUCUACUUCUCAAGGGAGGAGUGGGCGUGUCUGGAACCCAGCCAGAGGACCCUCUACCGGGACGUGAUGCUGGACAACUUCAGCAGUGUGGCUGCUCUGGGUGAGCGCGGGCUGAGCGCUGCGUGAGCACAGGGAUUUUGCAGCCCCAGACCGGACCUCGUCUCUCGCCUGGAACAGUGGGAGGAGCCGUGGGUUGAAGACCGGGAGAGACCUGAGCUCCAGGCAGUGCGGAGGGGACCCCGGCCAGAGUGGGAUGGAGCAGCUAUGUGAACACGAGCCCUGGGAGGUCCCCGGGUAUGUGGAGUCCCCGACUGUGGAGUGUCAGGUCCCUAGGGGCAAGGAAGUCUGCAGACCCCAAGAGACACUGUGAUCAUCCAGCUUGGGCUCACAAGAAAACCCACGUGCGGCGAG